AAACGUCUAAUAGUCCCUCGAACUUGAAACACCCUGUAUAUGAGAAAGAACCUUCGAAAUACUUGGAAACACUCUGUGAGAAAACAUUUGGUAAAAAAAUUCAAGUUGUAUGGUGUUCAAAUGGGAUUUUUUGGUGCAUUCAAUAUUUUACUAAGGCUCUCCAAAAGUAGAACAAAUUUACCUCUGAUUCUUCAAAUAGUACAUUAUUAUAGUACAUUAUUAUAUUCCUAAAGAUUCAUGAUUCGAUAAAAUAAUUCAGCUUAUCUAUAAUUAUAGUGAAUCAUCCGCUGUAACAAUUCAAGAAUUAGGAAUAAUUAGGCACUAUUCAGGAGGAAAGUAGUAUGGAAUCAUUAUAUGAUCAUCUCUUAGCUGCAAAAAAUAUUUCUUGAUGACCUCAAAGUAAUAAGUGAAAGUUAUAUGUGAUAUGGGCUCACAAAUUAGGUUUCAGCAGAAGCUAGGAGUUUGGCAACAACCUAUGGGUCAUCCAAUAUAUUACCAUUCCGCAUGAAUUUCAAUGUGUAAGAAUUGUUGAACUUAUAGCACUCAUCCCGAGUAUCUUCUGAAGGUUCAUUCUAUUCCUCCUGUAGUUACACACUGUAUUCAAGAGCGAUAACACCUGAUGAAAGCAGUUUAAUUGAUUGAUCCAAUAUCCUCAAUGAAACUCCAAAAGGAAUAAUGCUCUAUGGAUAUUAUACUAAAUUCGGAAAAUUUCAAGAUGAUCGAAUAACAUUAUUAAUUUCAAUGAUUGCGAAAUAUUGUAAAAAAAAAUAUUGGAACGAUUUUCUACUGAAAAAUUGGUGAGAUUCUAUUCAUUACAAAAUUAAAUAAACAAUUAAAAUUUUCUAAUUCCAGUAAUUUUAUUGAAUGACUAAACAGGUAAGACUCAACAAUAAGUGCUCAAAUAUGAAAAAAUCAAUUAAUUGUACAAUUUCCAAGCAUAUCAUGAACGACACAAAGAAGAACCUUCAAAAUGCUCGAAAACACUCUCUGAGAAAACAUUUGGUAAGAAAAUUUAAGUUGUGCGGUGUUCAUAAGCUUACGGAAUUGGUUCGACUCAUUCAAUUAUACAUUAUUUUCAGGCUGACAUGAAUUUCCAAAUGGUUUUUGGUAAAUCAAACUCUCUUUUCACAGAUUGGGAGAGGUGCUAUCAAAACAUCAUCACAUUCCUCAAGAAAAACGAGAAAGAAUAACUGUCAGAGAACUUCUGGGCACUGUUAGUGAAGGAAAUUCCAGUGAAAAUGGACGAGAUGCUUCAAUUGUUUGGAGCUUACUUGCUUAUUUGGUUCCUACGAUGGUUGCCAUUACUGGACAAAGAACACAACCAAAUAUAAAAUUAAAGAUUCUCAGGGAUCAUUCCUAUUCGUUGGAAGGUAGACUCAGGAAGUGGAAGAUCAUAUAGAAUAUUGGAAAACAAGAUUAACAACCCCAUAAAGCCAUUUAUAAAAGGCAUUGCAUCGGAGAUGAUAUAAAAUUUAUAACUGAAUUGUUUGUAUAUUUUGAUGACAGAAGAUUCGAAUUCCAUAGUUUUUUCAGAGUGGUUGAUAUUUGGGUCAAAAUUAUAUGUUUUACCUAGAUUUUUCUAUAAAAUCCUUUAUGGUUUGGUCUUAUUUUCAUAAUCUCAUAAAAUCCCAUUAUGAAGUGUUGAGUCUAAAAUUGAAGGAAAAAGUCUAAAAAACACUUCUGUUGUUGGAACCUUGUAUAUUAAAUCAUCCGGUUACAUGUUUCGGCAUAUUCGCCAUUAUCAAACCAAAGAUUCUGAAAAAGAUUAUACUCUUAGGUACAAUAUAUGAAGUUGAACGAAAAACUUAAAGAAAAGGUGAAGAAAGGUGGAUAACAUAAUUCUACAGUUUGGUUAAUUGCUCACUGAAACUUACGAUAUUAAGGUUCCAUAGUCAUAUGGUAAAACAUUGAUAAAAUAAGUAUAAGUCACAAAGUGAAUUACAAAUAUAAAUAAAUGAAUAAAUAUUAAAAAUACACUGGUUGAAAAGGCAUACUGUGAAAAGUCAAAAAAUAUAAAAUGACAAACAAAACAUAAACAAAACUGAAUGUUGAAGGAUUCCUCUUCUUCCAAUCAAGGUUGACCCGGGUGUUAAAUUUCCUUACGAUGUGUUUUUUAGACUUUGUCCUUCAAUUUUAUUUUCAUAAGCUCCAAACCUCUUUAGCAUUUCCUAGUGUGUAUAUUUGA